UGCCUUUCAUAAAAGUAUCAGAAAUUGAACUAAAAUAUUUCUAAAAGCUGUGACAAAAUGUGUAAAGCUGUUUUCUUAAGUUAGAUAUCUACUUAACCCACUCAAAUGUCAAAUUAUUUAAACUGAACCAGUUGUAUGGAACACAGGUCCGUCUCGGAGGACCAAUUUACAGUACGAAAUACACCACAAAUCAGUUGUAUCGGUGAGUCCGUGAGAACUUUCCAUCAUUGUGCGGUGGCAGGAAAACGCCAUUAACCGGACCCGCCAUUGUCCAUCAUCAAAAUUUUACUCAGGCACGGCAUCUGUCGGUUUAUAUACACCAUAAAGUUUUUUUAAUUAACGCUCCUGAAACUUUCAUCAUGGACCAUUGUUCAAAGUAUUAUCUUAACUUGUUCAUUAAAGUUUCGGGGGUGGGGGGCGUUUUUAUGAAAGGGUAUAGUUCCUGCCAUCCUGCUAUUUAUGGAACACAAUAUGUUUGUUAAUGCGAUAGCAGGACGCCCCUAGGCUUGAACACUGUUAAAAGCGUAGACAAUAAAAGUGACAGGACAUAAC